UAACUACCAAAUCCAUGAAUAUCUCUAUCAGUUUUGCCUAUAAGAUCCCACAUUCACGUCCUUUUCAAACUCUACUGCAGUUCUUUCUUCUCUUUCAUACGAAGCGUUGAAAGGGGAAGACCGAGAGAGCUGUGGAUUUAAUUCAUCUUGUCAUUCUCUUCUUCCUAAAGAUUGAGCGACGACGGGCGUGGAGGAUGUUGAGCAGAAUUCAUGGAUUAUUUAUGUUUGGCUUAGUAUCGUUGGAUAUGUCGUGUCUUCAUACUCGGCAUUUUCCGUGUCUUGAACGCUUCCGCUAAGUGUCUUUUCUUUAGAAUCGUUUUAGU